GGAAUAGUUUUUAUCCCUGAUGUUUAUGUUGGGAAUGGAGCCCUAUCAAAAUAAAAGCCACGUUAGAAAGUUUAAAACUGCUAUAAUUAAAGCAAUAAAGUCAUAUCGAGACAGUUUCAUGUUAUUUUGAUUGAUUUAUUUUUUAUUAAAAUUUGGUUCUGACAACAAACUUCCCAUUCCAACAUGACGUGGCUACAUUUUAUUUAGCUAGUUUCAGAUCCAGAGUGAGAAGUGAUAAAUAUGUACAUCGCAGGACUCUAAAAGCGCUUUACACUAGUGCACCAUUCCUCCAUCCGCACUCUGAUGGUGGUGAGCUACACUGUAGCCACAGCUGCCCUGCUGGACUGGAUCCUGCUAUCUGCAGAUCUGUUCUUCCUGGUGGUAAUUAACAUAAGAACAUUCUUACGCCCUUCUUCCCUGGACAAAUGACGUCACGUCUCCCAUGCAUGUGUAUUGGGUUUGCAGCACCCAUCCACAAAUACACUAUUUAUAUAAAAUGGAUAUAAUAGUAGAGACUGAACUCUUACUCGUUUCAGAAAGCUUUAAUUCAACUGUUAGUAUAAACUCUUGUUUCAGACAGGUGAAAUUAAAACUAUCCCUGCUGUCUGCAUCUGAAUGUUGUUAUGGACAUCCGGAAUGUCCGUUUCUAAGUAGGAACGAUAGAUUUAUAAACAUCUGGAACACAUCCAGGCUGGUUAAUCAAUGUUUAAAGGGCCUCCUUAGGUUUUUAGGGAUUUUGAGAUGUCUCAAAUGUAAUUCCUACUCCAACUCUUCAUAUUUUGCCUUUUAACCCAGACAUAUGCUGCACUUGGUUGUUUUUUAGGUACAUUUGGACAUGGCGUGGUGUUUGGUGCCAGAGGAGCUGGUCUAAGGAUUUCAGUAACUGCUGUUUCAUCUUCUGAUGCUACUUCCAGCAGCAUCAUGCACCGUGGCACAAAGCUCAGAUCAUCGACUCCAGAGGCCUCCACAGUCACCAGAUCUCAGUCCGGUCCAGAACCGUUGGUAUGUGGUGGAACGGGAGCUUCUCAUCACGGAGCUGAUGCUGUCAUGUCAGAACGGACCGGAACCUCUGGGGAAUGUUUUCAACACCAGCUGAUCCCACGCCACGAGUAAUUAAGGCUGACGCUGGCUGCCAUGACCUUGUUAUUUAACCAAAGCUCAAGACCACAGUCAGGUAAAUGUCAGCAGUGUCUCCUGGGCCUGUGAGAUGAGGCAGUGACAGCUGAACAAUGGCUGCUGGAUCCAUUCAGAACACCACGGUUGUGGAUCCGUUCUCUGCAAACCAGAUUGUACAAAGGUGCAGAUCAACACUCACUCAUCUGCUACACCACUUCUUCCUGAGACGGAUCGCAGGGAGCUGGUGCCUGAAUCGGACCAGGAGUGGCCCGAGCACGUCUGCUCAACACAUUCAGAGACACAAAUACAGAGCGGUGAGCAUGCAGGACCCGUCCGAGAACAAAAACCAACCAGAACCCUCAUCAGAUGCAUGUUUGUGUCAAGAAAUCCACUUAUAAUAGUUUUUUUCACAUGUUGUGCUUUAAAUUAUGUGAUCCGAUUCCAUGAAAUGUGAA